rnacentral:rRNA from 1 species
GAUGAACGCUGGCGGCGUGCUUAACACAUGCAAGUCGAACGAAGCACUUUAUUUGAUUUCCUUCGGGACUGAUUAUUUUGUGACUGAGUGGCGGACGGGUGAGUAACGCGUGGGUAACCUGCCUUGUACAGGGGGAUACAGUUGGAAACGGCUGCUAAUACCGCAUAAGCGCACAGCAUCGCAUGAUGCAGUGUGAAAAACUCCGGUGGUAUAAGAUGGACCCGCGUUGGAUUAGCUAGUUGGUGAGGUAACGGCCCACCAAGGCGACGAUCCAUAGCCGACCUGAGAGGGUGACCGGCCACAUUGGGACUGAGACACGGCCCAAACUCCUACGGGAGGCAGCAGUGGGGAAUAUUGCACAAUGGGCGAAAGCCUGAUGCAGCGACGCCGCGUGAGCGAAGAAGUAUUUCGGUAUGUAAAGCUCUAUCAGCAGGGAAGAUAAUGACGGUACCUGACUAAGAAGCACCGGCUAAAUACGUG